GAAGUAAAAGUCGUAACAAGGUCUCCGUAGGUGAACCUGCGGAGGGAUCAUUACACAAUAUGAAAGCGGGCUGGCAUCCUUCGGGGUUACAGCCUUGCUGAAUUAUUCACCCGUGUCUUUUGCGUACUUCUUGUUUCCUUGGUGGGUUCGCCCACCAUAGGACAAACCAUAAACCUUUUGUAAUUGCAAUCAGCGUCAGUAAAAAAAUUAAUAAUUACAACUUUUAACAACGGAUCUCUUGGUUCUGGCAUCGAUGAAGAACGCAGCGAAAUGCGAUAAGUAGUGUGAAUUGCAGAAUUCAGUGAAUCAUCGAAUCUUUGAACGCACAUUGCGCCCUUUGGUAUUCCAAAGGGCAUGCCUGUUCGAGCGUCAUUUGUACCCUCAAGCUUUGCUUGGUGUUGGGCGUCUUGUCUCCAGUUCGCUGGAGACUCGCCUUAAAGUAAUUGGCAGCCGGCCUACUGGUUUCGGAGCGCAGCACAAGUCGCGCUCUCUUCCAGCCAAGGUCAGCAUCCACAAAGCCUUUUUUCAACUUUUGACCUCGGAUCAGGUAGGGAUACCCGCUGAACUUAAGCAUAUCAAUAAGCGGAGGAAAAGAAACCAACAGGGAUUGCCCUAGUAACGGCGAGUGAAGCGGCAACAGCUCAAAUUUGAAAUCUGGCUCUUUUAGAGUCCGAGUUGUAAUUUGCAGAGGGCGCUUUGGCUUUGGCAGCGGUCCAAGUUCCUUGGAACAGGACGUCACAGAGGGUGAGAAUCCCGUACGUGGUCGCUGGCUAUUGCCGUGUAAAGCCCCUUCGACGAGUCGAGUUGUUUGGGAAUGCAGCUCUAAAUGGGAGGUACAUUUCUUCUAAAGCUAAAUAUUGGCCAGAGACCGAUAGCGCACAAGUAGAGUGAUCGAAAGAUGAAAAGCACUUUGGAAAGAGAGUCAAACAGCACGUGAAAUUGUUAAAAGGGAAGCGCUUGCAGCCAGACUUGCUUACAGUUGCUCAUCCGGGCUUUUGCCCGGUGCACUCUUCUGUAGGCAGGCCAGCAUCAGUUUGGGCGGUAGGAUAAAGGUCUCUGUCACGUACCUCCUUUCGGGGAGGCCUUAUAGGGGAGACGACAUACUACCAGCCUGGACUGAGGUCCGCGCAUCUGCUAGGAUGCUGGCGUAAUGG
rnacentral:rRNA from 1 species